GUAUGCGAUCAUACUAUCACUAAUGCAUCAGAUCGCAUCAGAAAUCCGAAGUUAAGUGUGCUUGGGCGAGAGUAGUACAAGGAUUGGUGACCCCCCACAAGGAAGUCUGUGUAUUGCAUCCC
rnacentral:rRNA from 1 species